rnacentral:rRNA from 1 species
CCCUUAGAUGUUCUGGGCUGCACGCGCGCUACACUGAUGCGCUCAACGAGUUUAUGACCUUGCCCGGAAGGGUUGGGUAAUCUUUUUAAAACGCAUCGUGAUGGGGAUAGAUUAUUGCAAUUAUUAAUCUUCAACGAGGAAUUCCUAGUAAGCGCGAGUCAUCAGCUCGUGCUGAUUACGUCCCUGCCCUUUGUACACACCGCCCGUCGCUACUACCGAUUGAAUGGUUUAGUGAGGACUCCUGAUUGGCGCCGCCGCCCCGGCAACGGAGCAGCGGACUGCCGAAAAGUUGUUCAAACUUGAUCAUUUAGAGGAAGUAAAAGUCGUAACA